GUGCUCACCUCCACAGCACAUAUACUAAAUUGGAAGGAUACAGAGAAGAUUAGCAUGGACCCCGUGAAAGGAUGCCGUGCAAAUUCACGAAGUAUUCUGUACUAUU